AUUGUCUGUAAGCGGACGCGCGAUUCCAAAAUAUUAGCGAAUUUUUACGACUGGGCUACAGUGGUAGCCCGUGCGCCUAAUCCCAGAAAUAAAAUAGCAAGAUGUCCCAAGAAAAGAGGAGGCGUAUUGAAACAUUCGAAGAUCCAGCUGCUUGGUCACAAUGGUUUGACCAAAGCGAGGUGAUGACUGAGAGUGAAGAUGAAGUUGAUAAUCCUGAAGAAGAUACAGUAAACGAAAGUGAGCAUGAUUCUUUAUCGGAUCAAGAGGCUAUUGAGAAUAGUUCCGGAAAUAAAUCUGACGAUGACGGUGAGUCUGAACAACCAAAUAAUUAUUUUACGGGGAAGGACAAAAAAACAAAAUGAAGAAAAGAAAGUCCUAAUGUUCAUAUAAGAACCAGAGCUCAUAACAACAUUACCCAUUUGCCUGGUCCGAAGGGAAUUGCUAGAAAUGCAGAAAUAACGGGGAUUGAGUGUUUAAAUCUUUUACUAGAUGAGUCUAUUAUACAAACCAUUACUACCUGUACCAAUAUUUAUAUUGAAAGUAUAAAAGAACGAUUUAAACGAGAACGGGAUGCAAGAAAUACAGAUGAAAGAGAGAUAAGGGCAUUUAUAGGGAUUCUUUAUUUAAUCGGUGUAUUAGGAUUAUCUCGAAAAAACUUACAUAAAAUUUGAGACAACUCAAAACGAAGUGGCGUAGAAGUAUGUUACUUGGCAAUGAGUGAGAAACGUUUUAGGUUUCUUUUGCGAUGCAUGCGUUUUGAUGACAUUAGAGACAGAAAUCUAAGAAGAGAAAUUGAUAAAAUGGCUCCUAUUAGGGAGAUUUUUGAACAAUUUCUGGCCAAUUUUCAAAGAUAUUUUAUUGCAAGUGAAUAUUUGACUGUCAAUGAGCAAGUUCUGGCAUUUCGUGGACGUUGCUCAUUCAAGCAAUAUAUACCAAGUAAACCGGCUCGAUAUGGUGUAAAAGUGUUUGCUUUGGUGGACGUCAAAUCUGGUUAUGCAUUCAACCUUGAGACGUAUGUAGGAACCCAACCUGAAGGACCAUAUAAAUUUAAAAAUUCCGGAGAAGAAAUUGUCCUUAGAUUAGUAGAACCAGUGGCAAACACUAACCGCAACAUAACUGGCGAUAACUGGUUUACUAGUGUGCCAUUGGUUAAGAAAUUUCUUAUUGAAAAAAAGCUAACUUAUAUUGGCACAAUGCGAAAAAAUAAAGUAGAAUUACCAAAGGAACUUUUGCCAAACAAAAGUAAAGAAGUGGGAUCUUCUAUUUUUGGAUUCCAGAAAGACUGCACAAUUGUGUCGUAUUGUCCAAAGAAAAGUAAAUCUGUAAUGUUGAUUUAUACUAUUAUAUUAAUAUGCACCAUGAUAAUGCAAUUGAUGCUGAAACUGGAGACGCUAGAAAACUGAAAUAAUCACAAUGUAUAACCAAACGAAGUUUGCCGUGGAUCGACUAGACCAAUUGUGUGCAAAAUAUGAUGUAUCAAGAAAUACUCGCCGAUAUCCGAUGGUAAUCUUUUAUGACCUGCUAAAUAUUUCAGCAAUAAAUGCUUUAUGCAUUUAUAAGUCUAAUAAUUGGAACAGAAAAAUAGCACGGUCAGAUUUUAUAGAAAAACUUGCAUGGGAAUUGAUUAGGCCUCAAAUUGAAUUUAGAGCUACACUUAUCCAAGUCUCUCCGGAAUU
rnacentral:lncRNA from 1 species